ensembl:lncRNA
AAAAGCCUGACUUCGAGGGUGGGAACAAGGAAUGACGACUGCCUCUAAAACAAGUCAUUGUGGGUAGAGAGAGGAGGGGAGAACUGCCUCUUAAACAAUCUCACAGGGGAGAGAGGGGAAGGGACCACAGCGUCUAAAAUAUGUGUCCUGAAGCUCAGAGCAGAGACACCCACAUCCAGCCUGCUUUCAUCAAAGAGUGAGAAGUCAAUGCACAAUCCACCUAAUUUCAGCCAGGAACCACUGAGAGAUGAGCAAAGAGAGAUGGUUCAUAUCGUAGCCCAUGAGGAGGGACUGGAACACCAUCUCAGGUUCUAUGUGAAGGAUGCUCAGAGGAUUUAAUGCUACAUUUUAGUCCGAAGAGUCUCAAUGUGGUAGCAUCUCUGCACCUGCUUCUGCUGCUUCAAACAACCAGAAGCUCCCGGGCUUGAAGAUGUGUGCUGGCGAAGAAACAUCUGAACAGCUGAUAGCAACUGUCCAGCAACCCUACCCACUCAGCCGCUACCCAGAUGGUCAUGUGCCGUCACAAUCUUCGCUCUCUCUCUCCCACUACUCUCUCCUCUUCUAUCCUAUCAUCUCUCCCUUCUGCUAAAUCCUUCUCACUCCUGUCUCCUAACGCUGCCUCUUCGACCCAACUCUCUUUCCUUUCUGCCUCAUUUGACUCCCACUGUCCCCUUUCCUCCUGGCCAGCCGAACCCGCCAUUCCUUCACCGUGGAUGAGUGGCCGUGUCCAAAUACCCAUACUUGCGUCCUAAAUAGUAGGUCGUGUUGAGUAUGCAAAAAAAAGAAAGUCUCAUAGUAUGUGAAAUUUUGAAAAUCUACUAUACUUUAAAUGCCAGGAUGUCAUACUCAUUUCAGCUUUUCAUCUAGUAGAAUUCCCUGCACACUAUUGAGGAAGAUAAUAGUUUUUCACAACCACAAGUGUUCGACAAGAGCUGAUAAUCAGAAUAGGGGAUGCGCCCUACCAGAAUACAUGAAUAGCGGGGAGCAAGCAUGAUUGCACAUUUCAUGACACCUUCUUAGUAUGGAUGAGUAGUAUGUUGAUAUUUGUUGCUAACUGAAAACGUUUUUACUAAAUAGUAUGUUUCAAAUAGUUUGUAGUAAGAUUAGUACACAGUAUGCAGUUUAAGUAUGUAGCCAGAUUUCGGACACGGCCAAUGACUCACUGCAGUGUUCAGAGAACAGGGCUGCGGGAAGCUGAGUGAAAAUGGAGGGAAACUAAACUUCUGGAGGACCCAUCAUCCUGCCACUUCCUCCUCUCUACCUUCUCUUCUUCUGUGUCUGCUGCUAAAUUCCAAGUCUCUUUUCCACCUUCUGCUCCCUCCUUAAUCGAACCCACAAAUGCUGAUGCUCCAGAUACUCAACUAAUCUAAAGGCCAGUUUUAUUGCUUCUUUAAUCAGGACAACAGUUUUCAGCUGUGCUAACGUAAUUGCAAAAGGGUUUUCUAAUGAUCAAUUAGCCUUUUAAAAUGAUAAACUUGGAUUAGCUAACACAACGUGCCAUUGGAACACAGGAGUGAUGGUUGCUGAUAAUGGGCCUCUGUAAGCCUAUGUGGAUACUCCAUUAAAAAUCAGCUGUUUCCAGCUACAAUAGUAAUUUACAACAUUUACAAUGUCUACACUGUAUUUCUGAUCAAUUUGGUGUUAUUUUUAAUGGACAGAAAAAUGUGAUUUUCUUUCAAAAACAAGGACAUUUCUAAGUGACCCCAAACGUUUGAAUGGUAGUGUAUAUAUAAUUCCAACAAUAAGUCCAAAAAUGGAUGUAGCAACUACAGAUUGCCC